rnacentral:rRNA from 1 species
UACGUAGGGAGCGAGCGUUGUCCGAAGUUACUGGGCGUAAAGCGCGCGUAGGCGGGUUUGAAAGUCGGAGGUGAAAGUGCUGGGGACUCAACUCCAUGCAGUGCCUCCGAUACUUCAAGUCUUGAGUGCUGGUAGGGGAGAAGUGGAAUGGCUGGUGUAGCGGUGAAAUGCGUAGAUAUCAGUCGGAACACCGGUGGCGGAAGGCCGGCUUCUUGGCCGUUGA